CAAACAGUGAUGGAUAACAGGUC
rnacentral:piRNA from 1 species